rnacentral:tRNA from 1 species
GGAGGCGUGGCUGAGUGGUUUAAAGCACCGCAUUCGAAAUGCGACAUACCUGCAAGGGUAUCGUGGGUUCAAAUCCUACCGCCUCCGCCA